rnacentral:rRNA from 1 species
ACUCCUACGGGAGGCAGCAGUGGGGAAUAUUGCACAAUGGGCGGAAGCCUGAUGCAGCAACGCCGCGCGGAUCGGACUGGACCGCUUCGGGUUGUAAACCGCUUUCGCCUGUGACGAAGCGUGAGUGACGGUAAUGGGUAAAGAAGCACCGGCUAACUACGUGCCAGCAGCCGCGGUGAUACGUAGGGUGCGAGCGUUGUCCGGAUUUAUUGGGCGUAAAGGGCUCGUAGGUGGUUGAUCGCGUCGGAAGUGUAAUCUUGGGGCUUAACCCUGAGCGUGCUUUCGAUACGGGUUGACUUGAGGAAGGUAGGGGAGAAUGGAAUUCCUGGUGGAGCGGUGGAAUGCGCAGAUAUCAGGAGGAACACCAGUGGCGAAGGCGGUUCUCUGGGCUUUUCCUGACGCUGAGGAGCGAAAGCGUGGGGAGCGAACAGGCUUAGAUACCCUGGUAGCUACGAG